CCCAAGGCGUGCCAGCAAAGCUUGGCUUUUAGAAAAUGGACAUAAAAUCCGCAUUGGAAUUUGGCUGUGACUGGGAUUCUGUCAAAGUAAUGCAGGCAAUAACAGCGGCCUUCCAGCCUGUUGUAGAGGGAUGCAGGUUACAAAUCUUGAUGCCAUGCCACAACAGACUAGUUGAGCCAUCCCUUAGCUCCAAUCAGACUUUGAGUGGAGGCCUUUUAAAAAAAUUGUUUCAUCAGAAGUCCAUAUAUGUCAGGCCUGACAAGGUCAUUUUAAGUGAGGAGAAAGAAUCUUCAUGUUCUGAUGGAGACAGUCACCAUGCAGGGAGCCUUGAUUUCGCACAGUCAUCGGACAGUGACAACUGUG